UUAUCCAAUAAAAAAGUCCAAUUACUUCUUUAUCCUUAGCUCAGCUUUAGUAUUUUGCCAACUAGCUCUCUGCUACUAUUUUUUAAAUACGCUUUUUCUCUCACCUCUCAAUCUCUCUCCUCCACAGUCCUCAUCUCUCAAUCUAUCUCCUCAAUCUUAACUUCUCUCUCUAAAUUGUGCCGAACUGAUUGUUUCAUCUAUUUCAAUUCUACUUCUCUCAAUUUCCUCCUUGAUCUCAUCUCUUCUCUCUCCUCGCUUAUCUCCAUGCUUUAACAAGUAUGAUGAAGAUGAUGAUGAUUGAUGAAUUACUCUAGUUUUUUAUUAGGCUAGUUUUAUAUAAUUAUAUAUUUUUCAUCUUUUACAAUGUACCUCCAUUGAAAUUUACUCUGAGUUCUCCAUCAAAGCAGUGACAGACCUUUGUCUCCUUCAUUAGACCGGAUUUUAAGGGUGAAAGUGGUGGAGAUCGAGAAGAAUGUGGAUGUUUGUGAGGAAGUUAAAGGUCAACUCGGCUGAGUUGAGGAGGAGACUAAGAGCUUCUACCCAAGUAGUUGUUCUCAUAGUUGGGCUACAUCUAUUCUUCAAUUUAGGAGUAGGUUAUAGAUUUUUCAAUUAAAGAAAACAAUUUAGAAUGAAAAAAAAAAAGUUGAGAUGAAACUCUAAUUUUUUCUAAGGGUAUCCUUUUUUUGUUAAUAAAAUCCCCCUUUUCACUUGGAUUUAUUUAGUAUGCAUUUUGUUGAAUUUGGGUUCAUAAUAUUGUUGGUUUUGUAAUUGUUUAAAGGUGGGAUGUUUUAGUUUUUGCUAGCAGUGUAAAUUUUGACUGAUUUAGAUUUGUAUGGGUGGAGGGCAAGAUAUGCAUUAGAUUAGAUAAGGAAGGAUAGAGAAUGUUGGAUAUUGAUUGUUGGGCGCACUCUUGCAGAGAAAUGGUUAUGCAAUGGGGUGUGAAUUAUGUGGGUGACGUAGGAAGGUAAUUUCUUACCAUUUCUAUUUUGUGUGUUUGAUAUAUUUGAAUGUGAAGAUUGUGAACGGUUUUCUUAGUA